rnacentral:misc_RNA from 1 species
CCAAUAGCGUAUAUUAAAGUUGUUGUGGUUAAAAAGCUCGUAGUUGAACCUUGGGCCUGGCUGGCCGGUCCGCCUCACCGCGUGUACUGGUCCGGCCGGGCCUUUCCCUCUGUGGAACCUCAUGCCCUUCACUGGGUGUGACGGGGAAGCAGGACUUUUACUGUGAAAAAAUUAGAGUGCUCCAAGCAGGCCUAUGCUCGAAUACAUUAGCAUGGAAUAAUAAAAUAGGACGUGCGGUUCUAUUUUGUUGGUUUCUAGGACCGCCGUAAUGAUUAAUAGGGACAGUCGGGGGCAUCAGUAUUCAAUUGUCAGAGGUGAAAUUCUUGGAUUUAUUGAAGACGAACUACUGCGAAAGCAAUCGCCAAGGAUGUUUUCAUUAAUCAGUGAACGAAAGUUAGGGGAUCGAAGACGAUCAGAUACCGUCGUAGUCUUAACCGUAAACUAUGCCAACCAGCGAUUAGCCUGAGUUCCUUAAAUGACUCGGCUAGCAGCUUCCG